CGUUCCUGUCUGGAUCGGCGGCCGGCGGGAAUGGAAACUUGGAUUCCGCGAAUCGAAAGUGGCGAAUGUGGAACGGCAGCAUCUACGAAAUAGUACCAUAGUACUAUCCCGAGGACGAUGAUGGAAAGCAGAAGGAGGACCAGGAUCAUGCUCCCCGAUUAGGAAAUUGAAGGUGGAGGGAUUUAAUGCCACCGAGGUCGAUUCCAACGAGGAUCUGAGCGCAGUACCUGAUCGCAACUAUAACUAAUAACUAGCAAAGUUUCGUUUCUGCGCAUCGAGUAUCCUUCCGGACGCAAUAUCCGAUAUUCGGUUUCCCCGCAAUAAAUUCGAGGGAUACCAGUAGUGGCAGCAGAAGUUUUGAAUCGGCGACCGGCGGGAAUGGAAACUGGCUUCUGCGAAUCGGAAGUGGCGAAUGCAGAAUAGAAGCAGCAGAGAAAUAAGUAAAAUAUACUAUCUCGAUUCUCGAUGACGAUGAUGCGGAGUAGGAAGAGGGCGACGAUCAUUCUCCCCCGAUUAGGAAAUAUAAAAGAAUGGUGGAGUGGAGGAACUUAAUGACACCGAGGUCGAUUCAACGAGGAUCUGACAUCGAUCGUCGCAGUUCGCUUAUUGUGACAGCAUCAGCACCAGUAGCAGUUAACGAUAAAUCUUAAUUGGUUACACCAAUCGAGUCACGGCAUCAUAUAACUUCGGUGUUUCCAGUAGGCCGCCAACUGCGGAGUAGCCGGAACCCUUUGAAAACCUAUUGGUGUCGAUUCGACAGCUCAAGUAUAUCCGAGAGAUAAGCAGUCGGAAACGUCUGAACAUUCCAAUGCCGGUGGAUCGUUCAACGUCGGCACGUCCAGCUCCAAUAUUCUCCAGAAGUUCCCCCUGCAGAUGCAGGAGCAACAGUUGCAGGAAUAGAAAGUACUGAGAAGUAACGGAAAGAGGGCAAUUUGCUAUCCAACGGCAAUUUGUACGAUAGCGCAUCAGAGACUAGUGGCGUGUCCAAGCUGAACCUGAGUCAAGCGGAGGACCACCUUAUACCGGUAGACAGCUAUUCGGAUUCAUGGGCAACAGUCAAAGGUUCCACAGCGUGUUUGCUUUCAAGAGCUCCGGUCAAUCGGGACGGCCGGCGUUCAAUGCUUUGCUUUGUGGAAGCACUUGUCUUAGUCUAUGCUACGUCGCUGGGCAGCAGUAAUAGCAGUUUGUCAUUUUUGUUUAAGUUUUACAACGGGAGAACGAUGUACGGUGGGGCGUUAGCCUAUAGGAGUCGUCGGCAUAUUCGGCGAAUAGCUCUAAGAGUUCCGGUUCAGAUAAGGCCGUCGUCGUUUCUGUCAAAUUUUUCAUCCAACACAAGUCUCAGAUCGGAUAUCUCAGCACUUUUGAAUACGGCAAAACGGAUCAUGGAGAUUCCGAACCAACGUUACAACCCGCAACUUAAUAGCUGGGAAGCAGCUUGAGUUCGAAUAGUACGCUGACGUACUUGAAGGAGCCCGAACUUAUUCAGGCCUGGAAGCGCUUCGAUGAGGAAGAUUUUAGCUAGAACCGCAGCAUCCGAAUGUCGAUAAACCCAAAGCAUAACUGGAUCAGUAUCAUACAGAACUGCU